UCGGGAAACUUUUGCAAUACACGUAAGUGUGACAAAGCAAGCCAGAGUGUUUCUCUUUUUAGAGAAACUUUUGUGAGAUGCAAAAAGUCUUACGAAUAAGGACUGGGCAAGACUGGUGCCAGCCGCCGCGGUAAUCCCAGCAGUCCAAGUCGCAGCCACAUUUGUUGGGUCUAAAAUAUCCGUAGCUUGCCUUUCAAGUCUCUUGUGAAAUCGGAACUCUUAAGGUUCCGGCGGGCAAGAGAUACUGUAAGGCUAGAGACCGGGAGGCGCAGGAAGUACGUAUGGAGUAGCGGUAAAAUGCGUUGAUCCUAUACGGACUAACAGUCGCGAAGGCGUCCUGCGAGAACGGUUCUGACAGUGAGGGAUGAAGGCUAGGGGCGCAAAGUGG
rnacentral:rRNA from 1 species